CCAGUACUGGGCCUCUAGUCCAUCACAGACACCUUAUCCUGGUCUCACACAUCUUGGACACACUGGACAUUACCGACACCGGCCCGGUCUGGCUCUGGUAGCCACAGACCGUAGCAGUGUAGAUGGCCGCAGCACCGAGGACGAGCCAACAGAACAUCUGACCAUGAAGCUUGCCAGGCUGUGGAUCCUACAGGUCUGCAAUCACAGAAAAAUCAUAUAAUUCUCCAUCCAUAUAAAGGUCAACAAAUGGGCUAGAGAGAUUGUUACAGAGGGGAUGGCGUAAACUGGAGAGAGACAACUAAGAGGACACUCGUCUAAAGACUAGGGGACAUACUGGGAUCUGCUAACGCACUAGAGGAAAGAAUGGAGGGAGGAAAUGGAAGAAGAAGCUCAAUAAACAGAUUUAGAAAUCUGGGUUCAUUAAUAUGUAUUCAUGAUGUACUGACAGCCUGAACGACAUGCAGGCUCUGUAUCACAGAGAAACUGAGUCUUCAUACUGGGUAUGUUGUAUCAAAGUUUAAUGACCAUAAAACACUUCCACGAGUCAGUAAAGUCAGUCAGUAAAGUCUAACACUGGAUUGAAGGCAACAAUGUCAAAAAGGUAUUCAUUUUAAUAACAUAUUCUCGUAUAUUUAACUUCUAUUGUCCUUCAAGAGUGGCCGCAUUUUUUUUAUAUUGCAUGUCCAGUUUUUCAUUGGUAGGACUGUGAGGUAGAGACACAUCGUACAUUAUUAUGAAGGAGUUAGUGAAAUGGAAGUCUUUUGUGAUUAGUCAGAAACAUGUCAGAUUAAUUAUCAUAACUGUUAAUAUGGUGUCAUAUAUGCCCCAAUUACUUAAUGACCUAAUAAACAGUAUCAUAAAUAACAGUAUGUUGUCGAUAUGUUCAUUUGAACCAGUAAUGAAGUCAAGUGAGUAAUGUUGUAUAUGUACUGUAUGUUCAAAUCAGGAAAACAGUCAUCUACAAGCCUUAAUUGAUCAGGUCAACUUCACAUCCAUAAAUCCCUGAAAACAAACAUUUUUCCAACAUGAAGCUUUUGACAAACAGAUUACACAUUUAACACAUCAUAACCAAGUUUAGGAGGGCUCAGGAUCAUGAUUCAGCGGGCAUUAUGAAAUCCAAAACAGAUCCCCUCAUCAAAUGGCUCUGUGAGCCCUGUGGUGGUCUGAUGGGGUUGACCCCUGGCCCUCUCCCUGUGGGGGGCAGCUGAGGAGGGGGCGCGGGAGAUCACACGAAGGCCCUGUUCUGGCUCCAUGUCCAAACAGCCUGGUCUGUUCAGGAGGAGGGUGGAGGGGUGGAAGUGUACCCCCUCAUCCUAAAGAGUGCACCAGGUGGCAAGGACGUGGGCAGGGGGCUUUUGAUGCUGACCCCUGGUCCCUGGGAUGGGAUGGCUCUAGUCAUUGAUCCAGCCAGAGGAGGGAGGGGAGCCAGGUGCCCCUGGUGGGGAUGGGGAUCAGCUGCUACGGUCUGGGUAUGGAGGAGAGGAGUCUGGGCCCACACUGGUCCCAGUCAUGCCAGUAGUCACAGCCCCAGUGUUGACUGGCUGUGAUGUUGUAGACAGGGUGCGGUCUAACACU
rnacentral:lncRNA from 1 species